GACACCUCACACCACCAGCAGCAAUAAUAGUCUCUCCUUUCUUCACGGCUCUCUCCACAGUGGGCAUCAGCACCCUCAACAUCAUCGUCAAUUAGAAGAGUUUUCAAUGAGAAAACGAUCAACGACAGCGUCUGGAGAAGGUUUGCCAAAGGAGUAAGGCCUUCCAUGUGUAGAAAAGUUGAUAACAGCAAGAUAGGCGCCAGAAUGGAUGCAGAGCUCGUCGGCUUUCUUGAAUAGACCAUUGCGUUGCUUAGUGAAAAUGGUCCCGAGGUGCUGUUUGUUCUCUAUUUCCCUGCGACCUGUUCCUUUUCUUGCCAUAUUUAGAAUGGAGAUUGAACAGCAAUAUCUUGA
rnacentral:misc_RNA from 1 species